UAGGACUAUAGCCAAAUUGGUAAGGCAUCAGGUUUUGAUCCUGUGUAUUGUUGGUUCGAGCCCAGCUAGUCCUAU
rnacentral:tRNA from 1 species